rnacentral:misc_RNA from 2 species
CAACCCUUAAGCCUAGCUUAGUGUUGGGAAUCUACUUCUCUUAGGAGUUGUAGUUCCUGAAAUACAACGGCGGAUUUGUAGUAUCCUCUGAGCGUAGUAAUUUUUUUCUCGCUUUUGUUAGGUGCUAUAACUCCCAGCCGCUAAACCCCCAAUUUUUUGUGG